rnacentral:lncRNA from 1 species
UGGGGUGUUAAAAGUCCACUUCGUAGGUAUUACAUUUUAGUGUUGCGUUUAUGUUGUGUCGUAGUUUUCCUCUUACAUUUGACGUAUUUCUCUCAGUUUUAGUUUGUUACCCGGUUUUGUUUUUUGUUUUUUCUCGAUCGAUUUAUGAAUUUCGAAUAGCGGUAUACUACUGCUGCCUUUAUUUAACAUACGUUUUUAACCAAAGUAUAAAGACACAAUUCUGUAUUCGAACUCGUACUCGUUUUGCAAAAUGUCAGCAGCUUGAUAGUAUAUGUGAAAUCUUUAUAUCAAUUAAGAUAUUACCAUAAUCAUAACUAGAUUUAUC